GACGAACGCUGGCGGCGUGCCUAAUACAUGCAAGUAGAACGAGUUGCGAACGGGUGAGUAACGCGUAGGAACCUGCCUGGUAGCGGGGGAUAACUAUUGGAAACGAUAGCUACUACCGCAUAUUAUUCGAGCGGCCGAUGUCUGAUUAGCUGGUUGGCGGGGUAAAGGCCCACCAGGGCGACGAUCAGUAGCGGGUCUGAGAGGAUGACCAGCCACACCGGGACUGAGACACGGCCCGGACUCCUACGGGAGGCAGCAGUGGGGAAUAUUGCGCAAUGGGGGCAACCCUGACGCAGCCAUGCCGCGUGAAUGAAGAAGGCCUUCGGGUUGUAAAGUUCUUUCGGUGACGAGGCGUUAAUCACAGAAGAAGCACCGGCUAACUCCGUGCCAGCAGCCGCGGUAAUAC
rnacentral:rRNA from 1 species